UCUGNUCUGUCACUGACGCUGAGGCUCGAAAGCGUGGGUAGCGAACAGGAUUAGAUACCCUGGUAGUCCACGCCGUAAACGCUGAGUGCUAGGUGUUAGGUCCUUUCCGGGACUUAGUGCCGACGCUAACGCAUUAAGCACUCCGCCUGGGGAGUACGACCGCAAGGUUGAAACUCAAAGGAAUUGACGGGGGCCCGCACAAGCGGUGGAGCAUGUGGUUUAAUUCGAAGCAACGCGAAGAACCUUACCAGGUCUUGACAUCCCGAUGCCCGCUCUAGAGAUAGAGUUUUACUUUUUGUACAUCGGAGACAGGUGGUGCAUGGUUGUCGUCAGCUCGUGUCGUGAGAUGUUGGGUUAAGUCCCGCAACGAGCGCAACCCUUAUUGUUAGUUGCCAUCAUUAAGUUGGGCACUCUAGCGAGACUGCCGGUAAUAAACCGGAGGAAGGUGGGGAUGACGUCAAAUCAUCAUGCCCCUUAUGACCUGGGCUACACACGUGCUACAAUGGUUGGUACAACGAGUCGCAAGCCGGUGACGGCAAGCUAAUCUCUGAAAGCCAAUCUCAGUUCGGAUUGUAGGCUGCAACUCGCCUACAUGAAGUCGGAAUCGCUAGUAAUCGCGGAUCAGCACGCCGCGGUGAAUACGUUCCCGGGCCUUGUACAC
rnacentral:rRNA from 1 species